AAACAAACUCGGAAAGAGACCGAAAAAGGAGAAAUCAACAACUGGAAUCCACGACAAGAAUCAACACACACAAGUACACAACCAAUCGAUAUACCUCAAGAAAAAGGAACGCGAUCAAAACAAGCUCAAACAGAUCACGCAUGCAGACCAAUGCAAUCAAAAGGCUGCAGUGCAGAGAUCGAUCAUCACGCCGGCGCCGGCGCCGCCGACGAUCCGCCGUCACUGCCGCUGCCGCCGCCCUGGUAGAAUUGCAUGACGGUGUAGACGGUCUGCAUGACGGUCAUGACGAGCAGGAAGACGGCGGCGGCGAGGGAGAGGAACGCCCAGGGGCUGCGGAAGUAGGUGUGGAUGAGGUUGGCGCGCCACAUGUUCCAGGGCUUCCGGCAGUAGGCGUUCACCUCCCGGUGCACGGCGUCCAGCGCGCUCUCGGGCUCCAGCACCACGUCCUUGGAGAUGCUGUUGAAGAGCUUGGCCACGGCCUUGUCGCUGCCCACGGCGUUCUGGAUGACGCCCCUGGAGCUGAGCAGCGCCACGUCCUUGGCCGAGUCGAUGAUGUUGUCCAUGAAGAAGACGUACGCCGUCACGUCGUUGCCGGCGCCGACGUGCAGCCGCUCGAACGCCAUCAUGUUGAGGAACAUGUACUCGGUGGAGUCGUCCACCGUCACCGCCGGCAUGCUCAGCACGCCGUGCCGGAACCGGAUGUCGUGCAGGCUGUCCGAGACGCUCUUCCUGAACCGGAUCCCGGCCUCGUACAGCUCCACCGCGGACCGGAUGAUGUCCGUCUCCGGCACGUCGCGCCGGGGGCGGUGCUGGUAGUGCCCGUACAGCAUGUUCCGGCGGUGCACGUCCAGCGCGUGGAGCCCGAUGCCGACGCCGGUGGGUGGUAGCCGCGGUGUCGGGGACAGGAACCUCAGCACCAUCCUGUUGAUGGCAUCGCCGUUCUGCAUGUGUGAUGACGAUACCAGGUGAAAAGAAGCGAACUCAAGCGGGCCUACUAGCUUUGCCUUUUGCUUUAUUUUUGGCUUCAAUAUAAUUCGACGGACAAUGAUGGCUUGAUCGAUAAAGCCAAGUAAGUAUAAAGAGAACAAACGAAACGAAUUUUAAUUUACCUAGUUUGACUGCACUGCAUGUAUACGACUGGUUCGUCGAAAACGAUACCUACCGUAGGCUUGCCAGUCUCGACGGCGACGAGCUUCUCGAGCAGGAUGAGCGGGAGCUGGUUCUCGAGCAUGAGCAUGUCGCGGCGGAUGUACGGCACCAUGUACAGCACCCCGUGGUGGCUGAAGAUGGGGUCGUUGGGCGCGUAGUCGGCGGUGUUCUUCCCGUCGAGGACGGUGGCUCUCAUCACCUCCAGCAGGAAGCAGCCGUCGACGAUCAUCACCUCCAGGAACCGCUCCCUCCCGCCGCCGCGCCACUCGGCGCCGAGGUCCAGGUACGCGCUCUCCAGCGGCUCCGCGAUCUCCUCCACGGCGGCCACGAAGUCCUCCAGCGGCCUCUUGGCGCGGCGCAGGAGGUGCCGCAGCGCCCGCCGCUUGUGCUCCUCCAUGGGGACCAGCUCCGCGUCGCCGUGGUGGAAAGGGCCCAGCGACACCACCUGCGGCUUGUACGCCUUGGGCUUCAGGUCCUUGAUGCACGCCGGGACGCGGUAGAUGCAGUGCCGCUGCCACCGCGACACCUCCACCGACGCGUCCGCCUCGCCCAGCUUCUUCUCCACGUCCACCACCCACGGCCGCCUGCCGCCCCCGGCCGCCGCAGCCAUGGACGCGAUCCGAUCAACCAGAAGCUGACGCAGUUACGUAGCUGAUGAUGUGUCUGAGUAAACAAUGAUAUGGAAUUCGAUCGAUCGCUAGCUGCGUAGCUAGAUUUGUAGGAUCUUCAUGGAGGGAUCGACGAUGUUAGACACUAACCUAGGCUAGCUAGAUCGAUCGAACACCUUAAAUAUAUAGAGCUCCCGAACCCCAAGAAUAAUUAAGAUUGAUCGGCGUUGCCAAUAAUAAUUAACGUAACGUACGUACGCAUAUGUGGUUACUUGUGUUGCAUGCCACCGCGUGCGUGCCUAUCUGCAUGAAAAAGAGGUCAUCA
rnacentral:misc_RNA from 1 species